rnacentral:rRNA from 1 species
UACGUCCGGCUUGUACACACCGCCCGUCAAGUCACGAAAGUCGGUAACACCGAAGCCGGUGGCCCAACCCUUGUGGAGGGAGCCGUCGAAGGUGGGAUUGGCGAUUGGGACU